rnacentral:rRNA from 1 species
GAUGAACGCUGGCGGCGUGCCUAAUACAUGCAAGUCGAGCGGACGGACAAUAAGCGUGCUCCUCUGAGGUUAGCGGCGGACGGGCGAGUAACACAUGGAUAACCUACCUAUAAUACUUGGAUAACAUCGUGAAACCGGAGCUAAUACUGGCUAAUAUUACCAACCGCAUGGUUCAGUGGUGAUUGACGGUUUUGCUGUCACUAAUAGAUGGAUCCGCGCUGCAUUAGCUAGUUGGUAAGGUAACGGCUUACCAAGGCAACGAUGCGUAGCCGACCUGAGAGGAUGAUCGGCCACACUGGAACUGAGACACGGUCCAGACUCCUACGGGAGGCAGCAGUAGGGAAUCUUCCACAAUGGGCGAAAGCCUGACGGAGCAACACCGCGUGAGUGAUGAAGGUCUUCGGGUCGUAAAACUCUGUUGUUAGGGAAGAACAGCUGUGUGAUUAACUCUGGACGUCCUGACGGUACCUAAUGAGAAAGCCACGGCUAACUACGUG